rnacentral:rRNA from 1 species
AGCUAACGCAUUAAGCACUCCGCCUGGGGAGUACGGUCGCAAGACUGAAACUCAAAGGAAUUGACGGGGGCCCGCACAAGCGGUGGAGCAUGUGGUUUAAUUCGAAGCAACGCGAAGAACCUUACCAGGUCUUGACAUCCUCUGACAAUCCUAGAGAUAGGACGUCCCCUUCGGGGGCAGAGUGACAGGUGGUGCAUGGUUGUCGUCAGCUCGUGUCGUGAGAUGUUGGGUUAAGUCCCGCAACGAGCGCAACCCUUGAUCUUAGUUGCCAGCAUUCAGUUGGGCACUCUAAGGUGACUGCCGGUGACAAACCGGAGGAA